AAUGUAAUUGAUUGAGUUGGUU
rnacentral:misc_RNA from 1 species